rnacentral:rRNA from 1 species
CGCGUAGGCGGACUUUUAAGUUGGGGGUGAAAUCCCGAGGCUCAACCUCGGAACUGCCUUCAAAACUGGGAGUCUUGAGGUAUGGAGAGGGAAGUGGAAUUCCAGGUGUAGCGGUGAUAUGCGUAGAUAUCUGGAGGAACACCCGUGGCGAAGGCGGCUUCCUGGCCAUAUCCUGACGCUGAGGUGCGAAAGCUAGGGGAGCGAACG